GCAAGUCGAACGGUAACAGGGAAGAGCUUGCUCUUCUGCUGACGAGUGGCGCACGGGUGCGUAACGCGUAUACAAUCUGCCUCUUACAGGGGGAUAGCCUUUGGAAACGAAGAAUAAUACCCCAUGGUAUGUAGGUAUCGCAUGGUAACUACAUUAAAGAUUUAUCGGUAAGAGAUGAGUAUGCGUCCUAUUAGCUGGAUGGUGUGGUAACGGCUCACCAAGGCAACGAUGGGUAGGGGGCCUGAGAGGGUGGUC
rnacentral:rRNA from 1 species